GACGAAGGAUGCAAGCGUUAUCCGGAUUCAUUGGGUUUAAAGGGAGCGUAGGUGGCCUUAUAAGUCAGUGGUGAAAUCUCUGGGCUUAACCCAGAAAUUGCCAUUGAUACUGUAGGGCUUGAGUAUAGUUGCCGUUGGCGGAAUAUGACAUGUAGUGGUGAAAUACAUAGAGAUGUCAUAGAACACCGAUUGCGAAGGCAGCUGGCGAAACUAUAACUGACACUGAGGCUCGAAAGUGCGGGGAUCAAACAGG
rnacentral:rRNA from 1 species